CCAGAGGGCCGGGCGGCCGCGGCGGGGACUUGUCCCCGGCGAGGAAAGUCCGGGCUCCACGGAACAACGAUGCCGGGUAACGCCCGGCCGUUCCCGCGCAAGCGGGGGCGAGGGACAGUGCCACAGAAAGCAUUCCGCCCGCCUUCGGACGGGCAAGGUCGAAAGGGUGCGGCAAGAGCGCACCGCGUCUUUGGCAACAAAGGCGGCACGGUAAACCCCAUCGGGUGCAAGACCGAAUAGGGGCGGCAUAUGAGCGCGUUCCGGCUCGCCGCCCGGGUUGGUCGCUUGAUCCUGCGCGCAAGUGCAGGGCUAGACGAAUGGCCGCCCAUUCCGCUUCGGCGGAUGGACAGAACCCGGCUUACAGGCCCUCUGGCGAA
rnacentral:RNase_P_RNA from 1 species